GAUGAACGCUGGCGGCGUGCUUAACACAUGCAAGUCGAACGGGAAACCUUUUAUUGAAGCUUCGGCAGAUUUAGCUGGUUUCUAGUGGCGGACGGGUGAGUAACGCGUGGGUAACCUGCCUUAUACAGGGGGAUAACAACCAGAAAUGGUUGCUAAUACCGCAUAAGCGCACAGGACCGCAUGGUCCGGUGUGAAAGACUCCGGUGGUAUAAGAUGGACCCGCGUUGGAUUAGCUAGUUGGCAGGGUAACGGCCUACCAAGGCGACGAUCCAUAGCCGGCCAGAGAGGGUGAACGGACACAUUGGGACUGAGACACGGCCCAGACUCCUACGGGAGGCAGGAGUGGGGAAUAUUGCAAAAUGGGGGAAACCCUGAUGCAGCGACGCCGCGUGAAGGAAGAAGUAUCUCGGGAUGUAAACUUCUAUCAGCAGGGAAGAUAGUGACGGUACCUGACUAAGAAGCCCCGGCUAACUACGUG
rnacentral:rRNA from 1 species